rnacentral:rRNA from 1 species
GGAGGGUGCAAGCGUUACCCGGAAUCAUUGGGCGUAAAGCGUCCGCAGGCGGUUUUUUAAGUUGGAUGUUAAAGUUUACAGCUUAACUGUAAAACUAUGUCCAAAACUGAAAAACUAGAGAUCUACAGAGGUACGUGGAAUUCUGUAUGUAGGGGUAAAAUCCGUAGAUAUACAGAGGAACACCAAAAGCGAAGGCAGCGUACUGGGUAGUUUCUGACGCUCAUGGACGAAAGCGUGGGUAGCGAACGGGAUUAGAUACCCCGGUAGUCCACGCCGUAAACGAUGGAUACUAGGUGUUGGGGGACUCGACCCCCUCAGUGCCCGACGCUAACGCAUUAAGUAUCCCCCCGCCUGGGGGAGUACGGUCGCAAGAUUA